rnacentral:rRNA from 1 species
UUUCGCAAUGCCCGAAAGGGUGACGAAGCGACGCCGCGUGCGGGAAGAAGGCCUUCGGGUUGUAAACCGCUGUCGGGAGUUAAGAAAUGUAAGGAUGUUAAUAGCAUCUUUGCUUGACUAAGGCUCCGGAGGAAGCCACGGCUAACUCUGUGCCAGCAGCCGCGGUAAUACAGAGGCGGCAAGCGUUGUUCGGAAUUAUUGGGCGUAAAGAGCACGUAGGCGGCUAUGUAAGUCGGUUGUGAAAGCCUUCCGCUCAACGGGAGAACAGCAGCUGAUACUGCAUGGCUUGAGUGCGGGAGGGGAGAGUGGAACUUCUGGUGGAGCGGCGAAAUGCGUAGAUAUCAGAAGGAACGCCGGCGGCGAAAGCGGCUCUCUGGCCCAUAACUGACGCUGAGUGUGCGAAAGCUAGGGGAGCAAACGGGAUUAGAUACCCCGGUAGUCCUAGCCGUAAACGAUGGGCACUAAGUAGAGGGGUUUUA